CCAGAGAACUUAGCAGAGAUGCUUUGGUGCCUUCGGGAACUCUGAGACAGGUGCUGCAUGGCUGUCGUCAGCUCGUGUUGUGAAAUGUUGGGUUAAGUCCCGCAACGAGCGCAACCCUUAUCCUUUGUUGCCAGCGGUUAGGCCGGGAACUCAAAGGAGACUGCCAGUGAUAAACUGGAGGAAGGUGGGGAUGACGUCAAGUCAUCAUGGCCCUUACGAGUAGGGCUACACACGUGCUACAAUGGCGCAUACAAAGAGAAGCGACCUCGCGAGAGCAAGCGGACCUCAUAAAGUACGUCGUAGUCCGGAUUGGAGUCUGCAACUCGACUCCAUGAAGUCGGAAUCGCUAGUAAUCGUGGAUCAGAAUGCCACGGUGAAUACGUUCCCGGGCCUUGUACACACCGCCCGUCACACCAUGGGAGUGGGUUGCAAAAGAAGUAGGUAGCUUAACCUUCGGGAGGGCGCUUACCACUUUGUGAUUCAUGACUGGGGUGAAGUCGUAACAAGGUAGGCGUAGUGCU
rnacentral:rRNA from 1 species